AACAAAUUCAACAAAGGGAUUGAGUACACCCUCAGGAAGUUUGCAGAGGACACCAAUUUGGGAGGGAGUAUUGAUCUGCUUGAGAGUAGGAAGGCUCUACAGAGGGAUCUGGACAGGCUGGAUCGAUGGGCCGAGGCCAAUUGUAUGAAGUUCAACGAGGCCAAGUGCCGGGUCCUGCACUUGGGUCA